rnacentral:rRNA from 1 species
UACAGAGGUCCCAAGCGUUACUGAGAAUCACUGGGUUUAAAGGGUGCGUAGGUGGUCCGUUAAGUUCGUUGUGAAAUCCCUGGGCUCAACCCAGGAACUGCUUCGAAUACUGACGGACUUGAGGCUAGUAGGGGUCACUAGAACUGACGGUGGAGCGGUGAAAUGCGUAGAUAUCGUCAGGAAUGCCGGUGGCGAAAGCGGAGUGCUGGUCCUUUUCUGACGCUGAGGCACGAAGGCCAGGGGAGCAAACGGG